rnacentral:rRNA from 1 species
UGCAAGUCGAGCGGACAGAAGGGAGCUUGCUCCCGGAUGUUAGCGGCGGACGGGUGAGUAACACGUGGGUAACCUGCCUGUAAGACUGGGAUAACUCCGGGAAACCGGAGCUAAUACCGGAUAGUUCCUUGAACCGCAUGGUUCAAGGAUGAAAGACGGUUUCGGCUGUCACUUACAGAUGGACCCGCGGCGCAUUAGCUAGUUGGUGGGGUAAUGGCUCACCAAGGCGACGAUGCGUAGCCGACCUGAGAGGGUGAUCGGCCACACUGGGACUGAGACACGGCCCAGACUCCUACGGGAGGCAGCAGUAGGGAAUCUUCCGCAAUGGACGAAAGUCUGACGGAGCAACGCCGCGUGAGUGAUGAAGGUUUUCGGAUCGUAAAGCUCUGUUGUUAGGGAAGAACAAGUGCGAGAGUAACUGCUCGCACCUUGACGGUACCUAACCAGAAAGCCACGGCUAACUACGUGCCAGCAGCCGCGGUAAUACGUAGGUGGCAAGCGUUGUCCGGAAUUAUUGGGCGUAAAGGGCUCGCAGGCGGUUUCUUAAGUCUGAUGUGAAAGCCCCCGGCUCAACCGGGGAGGGUCAUUGGAAACUGGGAAACUUGAGUGCAGAAGAGGAGAGUGGAAUUCCACGUGUAGCGGUGAAAUGCGUAGAGAUGUGGAGGAACACCAGUGGCGAAGGCGACUCUCUGGUCUGUAACUGACGCUGAGGAGCGAAAGCGUGGGGAGCGAACAGGAUUAGAUACCCUGGUAGUCCACGCCGUAAACGAUGAGUGCUAAGUGUUAGGGGGUUUCCGCCCCUUAGUGCUGCAGCUAACGCAUUAAGCACUCCGCCUGGGGAGUACGGUCGCAAGACUGAAACUCAAAGGAAUUGACGGGGGCCCGCACAAGCGGUGG